GGGUUGUGAGGUUAAGCGACUAAGCGUACACGGUGGAUGCCCUGGCAGUCAGAGGCGAUGAAGGACGUGCUAAUCUGCGAUAAGCGUCGGUAAGGUGAUAUGAACCGUUAUAGCCGGCGAUUUCCGAAUGGGGAAACCCAGUGUGAUUCGUCACACUAUCGUUAACUGAAUACAUAGGUUAACGAAGCGAACCGGGGGAACUGAAACAUCUAAGUACCCCGAGGAAAAGAAAUCAACCGAGAUUCCCCCAGUAGCGGCGAGCGAACGGGGAGCAGCCCAGAGUCUGAAUCAGCUUGUGUGUUAGUGGAACGGUCUGGAAAGUCCGACGGUACAGGGUGAUAGUCCCGUACACCAAAAUGCACAGGUUGUGAACUCGAAGAGUAGGGCGGGACACGUGGUAUCCUGUCUGAAUAUGGGGGGACCAUCCUCCAAGGCUAAAUACUCCUGACUGACCGAUAGUGAACCAGUACCGUGAGGGAAAGGCGAAAAGAACCCCGGCGAGGGGAGUGAAAAAGAACCUGAAACCGUGUACGUACAAGCAGUGGGAGCCUCUUUAUGGGGUGACUGCGUACCUUUUGUAUAAUGGGUCAGCGACUUAUAUUCUGUAGCAAGGUUAACCGUAUAGGGGAGCCGAAGGGAAACCGAGUCUUAACUGGGCGUUAAGUUGCAGGGUAUAGACCCGAAACCCGGUGAUCUAGCCAUGGGCAGGUUGAAGGUUGGGUAACACUAACUGGAGGACCGAACCGACUAAUGUUGAAAAAUUAGCGGAUGACUUGUGGCUGGGGGUGAAAGGCCAAUCAAACCGGGAGAUAGCUGGUUCUCCCCGAAAGCUAUUUAGGUAGCGCCUCGUGAACUCAUCUUCGGGGGUAGAGCACUGUUUCGGCUAGGGGGUCAUCCCGACUUACCAACCCGAUGCAAACUGCGAAUACCGAAGAAUGUUAUCACGGGAGACACACGGCGGGUGCUAACGUCCGUCGUGAAGAGGGAAACAACCCAGACCGCCAGCUAAGGUCCCAAAGUCAUGGUUAAGUGGGAAACGAUGUGGGAAGGCACAGACAGCCAGGAUGUUGGCUUAGAAGCAGCCAUCAUUUAAAGAAAGCGUAAUAGCUCACUGGUCGAGUCGGCCUGCGCGGAAGAUGUAACGGGGCUAAACCAUGCACCGAAGCUGCGGCAGCGACACUAUGUGUUGUUGGGUAGGGGAGCGUUCUGUAAGCCGUUGAAGGUGUAUCGUGAGGUAUGCUGGAGGUAUCAGAAGUGCGAAUGCUGACAUAAGUAACGAUAAUGCGGGUGAAAAACCCGCACGCCGGAAGACCAAGGGUUCCUGUCCAACGUUAAUCGGGGCAGGGUGAGUCGACCCCUAAGGCGAGGCCGAAAGGCGUAGUCGAUGGGAAACAGGUUAAUAUUCCUGUACUUGGUGUUACUGCGAAGGGGGGACGGAGAAGGCUAUGUUAGCCGGGCGACGGUUGUCCCGGUUUAAGCAUGUAGGCGGAGGUUCCAGGUAAAUCCGGUACCUUUUAACGCUGAGGUGUGAUGACGAGGCACUACGGUGCUGAAGUAACAAAUGCCCUGCUUCCAGGAAAAGCCUCUAAGCAUCAGGUAACACGAAAUCGUACCCCAAACCGACACAGGUGGUCAGGUAGAGAAUACCAAGGCGCUUGAGAGAACUCGGGUGAAGGAACUAGGCAAAAUGGUGCCGUAACUUCGGGAGAAGGCACGCUGAUAUGUAGGUGAAGCGGUUUACCCGUGGAGCUGAAAUCAGUCGAAGAUACCAGCUGGCUGCAACUGUUUAUUAAAAACACAGCACUGUGCAAACACGAAAGUGGACGUAUACGGUGUGACGCCUGCCCGGUGCCGGAAGGUUAAUUGAUGGGGUUAUCCGUAAGGAGAAGCUCUUGAUCGAAGCCCCGGUAAACGGCGGCCGUAACUAUAACGGUCCUAAGGUAGCGAAAUUCCUUGUCGGGUAAGUUCCGACCUGCACGAAUGGCGUAAUGAUGGCCAGGCUGUCUCCACCCGAGACUCAGUGAAAUUGAACUCGCUGUGAAGAUGCAGUGUACCCGCGGCAAGACGGAAAGACCCCGUGAACCUUUACUAUAGCUUGACACUGAACACUGGUCCUUGAUGUGUAGGAUAGGUGGGAGGCUUUGAAGUGUGGACGCCAGUCUGCAUGGAGCCAUCCUUGAAAUACCACCCUUUAAUGGCUGGUGUUCUAACGUGGACCCGUGAUCCGGGUUGCGGACAGUGUCUGGUGGGUAGUUUGACUGGGGCGGUCUCCUCCUAAAGAGUAACGGAGGAGCACGAAGGUUAGCUAAUCCUGGUCGGACAUCAGGAGGUUAGUGCAAAGGCAUAAGCUAGCUUGACUGCGAGAGUGACGGCUCGAGCAGGUGCGAAAGCAGGUCUUAGUGAUCCGGUGGUUCUGAAUGGAAGGGCCAUCGCUCAACGGAUAAAAGGUACUCCGGGGAUAACAGGCUGAUACCGCCCAAGAGUUCAUAUCGACGGCGGUGUUUGGCACCUCGAUGUCGGCUCAUCACAUCCUGGGGCUGAAGUAGGUCCCAAGGGUAUGGCUGUUCGCCAUUUAAAGUGGUACGCGAGCUGGGUUUAGAACGUCGUGAGACAGUUCGGUCCCUAUCUGCCGUGGGCGCUGGAGAAUUGAGGGGGGCUGCUCCUAGUACGAGAGGACCGGAGUGGACGCAUCACUGGUGUUCGGGUUGUCAUGCCAAUGGCAUUGCCCGGUAGCUAAAUGCGGAAGAGAUAAGUGCUGAAAGCAUCUAAGCACGAAACUUGCCCCGAGAUGAGUUCUCCCUGAGACUAUAAGUCUCCUGAAGGAACGUUAAAGACGAUGACGUUGAUAGGUCGGGUGUGUAAGUGUAGCGAUACAUUGAGCUAACCGAUACUAAUGAACCGUGAGGCUUAACCUUACAACGCCGAAG
rnacentral:rRNA from 1 species